UCUAAUAUGGCAGAUUAGUGCAAUAGAUUUAAGCUCUAUAAAUGAAAGUUUUUCUUUCUAUUAGAA
rnacentral:tRNA from 1 species